CAGUAGCCGCGGUAAUACGAAGGGGGCUAGCGUUGCUCGGAAUCACUGGGCGUAAAGGGUGCGUAGGCGGGUCUUUAAGUCAGGGGUGAAAUCCUGGAGCUCAACUCCAGAACUGCCUUUGAUACUGAAGAUCUUGAGUUCGGGAGAGGUGAGUGGAACUGCGAGUGUAGAGGUGAAAUUCGUAGAUAUUCGCAAGAACACCAGUGGCGAAGGCGGCUCACUGGCCCGAUACUGACGCUGAGGCACGAGAGCGUGGGGAGCAAACAGGAUUAGAUACCCCUGUAGUCCCUGUCUCUUAUAC
rnacentral:rRNA from 1 species